CGGGUGAGCAACACGUGGAUAACCUACCUAUAAGACUGGGAUAACUUCGGGAAACCGGAGCUAAUACCGGAUAAUAUUUUGAACCGCAUGGUUCAAAAGUGAAAGACGGUCUUGCUGUCACUUAUAGAUGGAUCCGCGCUGCAUUAGCUAGUUGGUAAGGUAACGGCUUACCAAGGCAACGAUGCAUAGCCGACCUGAGAGGGUGAUCGGCCACACUGGAACUGAGACACGGUCCAG
rnacentral:rRNA from 1 species